UUUUUUUUUUUUUAAUGCUCUUUAUUUUUUUUUUUCAUUUAUUUUUUGUCUUUUUAAUCUGUUCUACGGUCACUCCCACGGCAUAUGGAGUUUCCCAGGCUAGGGGCCGAAUCAGAGCUGUAGCUGCCAGCCUACGCCAGAGCCGCACCAACUCUGAGCCACAGCACAGCUCAUGGUGACACCAGAUCCUCAACCCACUGAGUGAGGCCAGGGAUCAAAUUUCAACUCCAUUGUUCCUAGUCGGAUUCAUUAACCGCUGAGCCACAACGGGAACUCCAAGGGGGAAAAUAUUUUAAAUGUGUUUGUGUAUCUUCUAGGUGCCAGAUAUUACCUGACAUUUCCAUUUAGUUCAUUGAAUCAUUAAUCUUAUGAAAAUGUUUUGAAAGUAAUAUUAAUGGCCCCUGGGCCUAGGGAUUAAAAGUGUUGGUUUUGAAGCCAGAAUUUUGAGCUUAAAUUCUAGCAUUAUAACUUUGGGCAAAUUAGCCUCAUUAUGCUGCUCAUUUAUAAUGUGAAGGGUAAUUAAAAAAACCUAUUCAUAGAGAUAUCCUGUAGUUAAAAGAUUUUAUAAAUUUAAGCCACUUAAAAGAGUGGUGGAUAUCUAGUAAAUUUUUAGUUCAUGUUAGUUAUUACUUUGUGCAUGCUAAUUAUAUUCUAAAAAAAUCUUUUAAAGGGGAAUUUUUAAAAAUUUUUGAACAAAAGAGAAUAGUUAAAAGUUAUUACAAAAUGGAUGAACCUCAAAAUCAUUAUCCUAAGUGAAAGAAGCCAGUUCUAUUUCCUUUAAUAGAACUUUUUAUCAGGAUAGAUAAAAUAUGAUUAAACUCUCAUAUUUGAAUGUAGUCAAAAAUCCAGCAAUUACACUGUUAUGUGAGAUGCUGAGACUGUGUCUGUUAUACAUUACUUUGGGAAAAGUUGAUUGUAAAGCCUUGCUGUUUAAGAAUGUAAUAUAUCUUUCUAAUUAAAAAAAAAAGAAACAGAAUUGGAGAAAGGGAGGUAUAUAAGUUUAAAUGAACACUAAAUUAAAAUUUUUUCUCACUGUAUGUGUUCCUCUCUAAUCAAUUCAGUUUACAAAACCAAUAACCUUGUCAUCCAGGGAAGAACUAUUGCAACAUUGCUUUGAGAAAAAAAUUAGGCACAGUGCCCAUCAAGUGAUAUAUUAUCUAAGAGGAUUUAGGAAGAGCCAUGAAACAUGAGGUGAUUCUAUCAUUUGAAUAGUAAAACACACACAUACACCCCAAAUUUCUAAAAUAAAACAAGAAAAAACAAAGUAAAAUAAGCAUUAUAUCUGUAACUUCUGUCAUAUAAACUACAAAACAAAAUUCCUGACCAUUCAUUUCCAUUUCCAUUAAAGAUCCAACUACUCUUUCAGAAACAACUUUGACACUGGACCUCAGACAAUAUUCCCCUUGGUUUAUUACAGUCUGCUUUCUCAUUCACUAAAUUCUAUUCAAGUUUCUUUGCUUUCUGAUAUAUGAUAUUUUGCAACAUGUUGAUACUCACUUGGAAAUAGUUGUUCUCCUAGAUUCUAAUGAUGUCUAGGCCAGCAACUACAAACUCACUGAGAAUACAGAAAAUGUGUAUGCAUUUCUCUAAAUUCUUCCCAUUAGGACAGCUAUUUAAUUGGCAAGUUUGCUGUCAAGUAGCAUGACUACUGCAUUAUAUUUUAAUCUGAACUCAUGUAAAUGUAGAUAUUUAAGAGCUUAUUGCAUCAGAAUUGAAAGAUAAAAUUGUCCAUAUAUUUGAGGAAAAUAAAUCUGACUCAGUUUAACAUUAUGACUUCCUUAAACUACUCGAGCAGUGUAGCAAGCUGGCUAAGUGUGUUGGCUCUGAAAUUAGAAAUGAAUAAGAAUUCUAGCUAUGCCUUUGGCAAGUAAUGUAAUAUUAGACAAAGUUCUUAACCCAUCUGAGCCUAGUUUUUCUCUAAAUAAAGUGGGGAUAACUAAAGUAUAUACUGGUUGGGUUGCUUAAAGGUUAAAUGAAAUGAUAAACAUCAAUCACUUAGCAUAGUGACUAUCAGAUAGUAAGUUCUCAAUGAAUUGAAGACACUAUAAUAACCCAGUCAGGGAUAAGGAAAAUGUCCCAGAAGACUUAACUCAAUGCUGUACAUUACACACUCAAUAAAUAUCAAUAAAUUUAAUUUUUUCUCUUUUAAAAUAUAUUUCAAUGGAUUUUAACACCAUCCCCAUAUAAAAUAUGUAUCUUUUUGACCUUAUAUUCACAUUAUUGCACCUGGCUUCAGAAUUCUCUCUGCAGAUAUAACUUGCAGUUCUUUCUCUUUCUUGCUUCCUUCCAUAGUGACUCCUCCUUGAACCUUUGUGAAUGUGAUGAUGCUGAUAGUGGUCAAGGGUUUUAGAAGCAGGAGCAGCCACAACAUUUCCUGAUAUCAUGGAAUAAUCAGUUUUUCUCAUUGGUUAUGAUGUCGGACCAUCUACUACCACAAAACUUGCAAGGUCCGAUUUUACUUUACUAGUCUAAUCAAGCUCUCAGUGCCUACAUUGAUCUCUUUUCCUCACCAAGAGUUUUGAUGAUUAGCUAAUACUCACACAGACAACAGUCAGACUUGAUGGCAAUCACUAGUUAUCCCCUAAGGACUGUAUUUCUCAUCCAGCUGUUCAGACUUGGUGACUGUUACACCUUCUAGUGACCACUGUUCCAAUAUUUAAGACACUUACAAUCUUAGCUGCCCUCAAUACCUGCCUCUGAACUCUACAAGUGCAAAUCCUUAACAAUUCCUCUACACCAACACCACUAUGCACAAGGUUACCAGCCUCCCUAUGGCAAAAGAAGAAACACAAAAACCGAAGUAAUCUAAAAUUAAGACGUUCAUUUGCUUAGCCAUAAAUGGGAUGAAAAUUCACAUUAUUUUCUAUACAGAGUCCAUCAAGCCAAAGAGUAAGUCCAAACCCCACAAGUUAUGAAACUUGGUAGAACAUCAUAUAAGGGUUUCCUGUUAUAUCUCAUGAUCCUAGAACCAUUCCCUUAUCAAAAUUGCUAUGACUUCCAAAGAAAUCAGGAAGACUGAGGAGCCAACUUCUGUGUCUGCAAGAGAGGGAAGAGCCCCCUUGCUGCCUCAUUGUAAAUAAGGAAGAACAGAUCAUCAUCUAUGACCUUUUUUUUUCCCAUAAAGCUUUGUUAGUCCUAUCUCAACUAAACCGUAGAGAGAUAUAGAUGUGGAUAAUGGCUCUAUCUUAAUAAAAUGAAAAGAAAUAAUAAGUUGCCCCCAAGGCAGAAAGUGAGGGCUCCGGAAUAGGUUUGUGUGAGGAAUUACUGUUUCUCUCUUUUUCUGUCAACCAGAGUGUUUUUCAAGACUAUCUGUUUAGUUUCAAGAAAUUAAGAAUGUCUGUCUUCCCUAUAAAGCUCAAAGUCAGAAGAGAGUAGAGGAAAAAAGAUUAGUGGAAGAUAAAAACAUGGACAUUGGAUUUAGAUCCUAAAAAUACUGUGUGUAUUGACUAUUGUUACAAAAUUACUAUUAACUACAAUAAUAGAUAGUGGGCAGGUAGGUAGAGAGACUGAGAUAGGUAAUUAUUGCUGGAAAAUUUGAACUUUUUCUUGUGAUUCUAAAAUGAAUUAUCUUAAAUCAUUUCCUAAACAUGAAUUUCCAUGUUGGCACAUUUACCAUCAUUUUACCAAAUGACAAGUAUCACUCUUCAUGAACAAGAUUGAAAAGCAUUUUUAACUUCGUCACUAUUGACCUGAAAUCUUCAGGCUGUCCUGUAACAUUCCUACAACUGUCACCAGAUAAUAUUAUACAUAAUGUUUGCAAAAUUUAAUCCUUUAAAACAUACCCUGGAACACUAUGUGAUACUUCAACAUGUCUCUGAGUUUAUUAUAUGCUUACACAGGCCUUUUGGGAUCUGAAAAUUAUUCAUAAAGAAAUUUAAAUGAUGUAUAUUCUUUCUUUAUCAUAUAAAGUCCUACUAAUAUGAUAAAUAGAAGCAAUAAACCUCAUUUUUUUGCACAAAAUUAGUUAAGACUUUUCCCCAAAGAAAACUCUCCCUUUUGAGUAAUGAACAUUUAGAAAUUCCAGAGUUCACCCUAUUGGCUACUUCUACAAUUCUGUGUUUUCCUUCUCCUUUCUAAAAUCACCUAGAUUUUAUUCAACUAUCCACACUUUUCUCCACAUAAAUAAGGACAAAAAGACUCCUAUUUAAAACUUCAUCAGUUCCUGUUGUGGCUCUGCAGAUUAAGAACAUUUCUCUCUUUUCUUGGUUUACUAGAGUCAGUUUCCUGAGUUGUUUCAGCACUAGUAUCCAUGAGGAUGUGGGUUCCAUCCCUAACCUCGCUCAGUAGGCUAAGGAUCCAGCAUUGCUGCAAGCUGCAGCCUAGGUUGUAGAUGCGGCUUGGAUCCCACAUUGCUGUGGCUGCAGCAUAGGCUGGCAGCUGCAUUCUGAUUCACCCCCUAACCUGGGAACAGGUGCAGUCCUCAAAAGAAAGAUAUAAGGACAAAUCUGAUGAGACUGCUAAAAUGAGUCCCUCCCUCUUAAUAAAGAGAUAAAGUAAGAGACAACCCUUCUAUACCUUGGCUAUUGUGCUAUUUAGAUGUGACACCUACGACGGCUGAAAUUAGUUAAGGAUAAAGCCAUGUAAGGGAGGAGGAUAGAUCUCUGACAUACUAGACCUGGGGGCUAUAUAUUUUCUUAUAUGAAGCAAUAAUUUUCUGCAUUAUUUAAACUAGUUUCAGAUGGGCUUUUAUUAUAAUUUAAAAAUCCAAUCUUUGACCUUUAUAAUGUAGAGGAAAUGCUACUCAAAUUGCAAAUUCUCAAGAGAAUACAGUUAGGUUAGCUGCAGCAGAAAACAAAUUGGAUGAUGGAAGUGAACAUUAGCUAUAAUUAGAAACUCAAAGCACACUUGGCAAAUUCAGUAAAGCUAUAAUUUGUAAGUGUUUACAUCACUUUGGUUUCAAGUUAAAAGUUAAGAAGCUAUAGGAAUACCUAUAUUGUGGUAUGGAGAUGAUAAUAAAUUAUUUGAUUUAUUAAUCAAAAUCUAUUGAGGUAAAUUCUCAUUCAAUAAUAUAUAUUAAGAAUUAAAUAAGAUUCGAUUUAACAUUCAGAUUAGAAUUUAUACUCUAAGUUUCCAGCACUCAACAGUUUAGUCCAGUUGGGAAAUAUGAACCAUUCAUUUAACACAAUAACAAACAAAAUGCCAUCAGAUUAUAAUUACUCCAAGAUGUGUAAAUAAUUGGAAAUGUUAUGGGAGUGCAGAGUUGUCAAUGAGAGAAACAGAAGUCUGUGAAAGUGCCAUGUAAGGGGUAAAUAUUAUACAGUGGCAAGUGAAACACCGACCAUAAUUUAAAAUACAUGAUCUGAAGGUGGAAAAACCAAACACUUCUGAUAGUAUCUCAUGGUACAGGAGGGUUUCUUAUUUCUACAACUAAAGUCAAUAUUCUCCCAACCAUACAACCUAUCAUUUCUCUCUUGGUUUACUAUCUUUUCUUGGUUUACUAUCUUUUCUUGGUUUACUAGAGUCAGUUUCCUGAGUUGUUUCAGUCCUUCCUCCGUGGUAUCUUUCAUUAUUCUUCUGUUUUCCCUACAGAAAAUAUUUCCACUAAAGAAAGAUUCCUAACUAGGAUUGAGGUUUCCACUCUGUAUGGCUUUCAAUCCAUUUUGUAGUAACCCUCAAAAUUAUAUUUCCAAAAUUCUGACCUCAGCCUAUUUAUUUCUCCUCAAAACCUCCUAAGGAAUCCCCAUUGCCAGCUGGAAAGGACAUAGAGUGGAAAUCCUUAUCCCUUCUAUUUAAUUCUUUAUAGUCUGGUAGGAAAUUAAAGAAAAACACAAACAUAAGCACAAUAAACUGCUAAAAGGUUUCUUAUAGAACCUUACUUCUAAUAGAAACUAUCUUCAUGCCUGACCAAAUUAAAGUCUUUAUCCAGACAAAAUUCUUUAUUAACCCUCUCUAAAGAAAGUAUUUUGCAUUUCUCUAUCAACACACCUUUCCAUAAGACAUUUCUCUUCUCUGGAAGAUUCAUUCUACCUAAUUUAUUCAUUAAUCUUGAUAUCUUUCAAGGUUUAUUUGGAGUUUAGCUUUCUCCUCAUUUUAUAACCUCUUAUUCAUAAAAUGGAUCCAACAGGACUCUUUCUAGAGAACAGCUUAUUCUAUUUAUAAACAGCUUGAAUUAUCAGCAUGAAGUUGCUUAAAUGGAACCAAAGUUUACUUUUCUCUGUUAGUGUUAGCAGAAUACUAUAAUGCAACAUCAAAUAAAAUAAGUUUUCUCAUGUAUCACAAUCAUUCACAUAUCUGAAAAUAUUAUUAUGACAUCCCUGCAUUUUUUUCUACAAUCAAUAGAAAUUACCAAUAACAAAACUGUUUCUCAAGUGACAUUCUUUCUAAACUCUUCGCCAUUUUAUUUUUAUUAUAGGAAUUGUUAACAUUUCUCCUAAAAUAAUAAUAGUUUCUAGGACAUCUGCUUUUGACUAUGGCAGGUGAACUUAUGUUGCCAUAGCCGUUCCAAACAUGACAAGUGUGAAAACUCAAUAAAGUAUUUCAUAUGCCACCUAUUUUAAGACUUUGGUUUCCUAAGAAAGCAAAGGACUUAAGGAAAAAGACAGAAAUAAAAUAUAAAAAGAUGAGCCAAAACUUUCAAGGGUUACUUCCCAUCAAGGAAAUUGUCACUACUGAGUCUUAGCCAAUAAGCCAAAA
rnacentral:lncRNA from 1 species